CCUACGGGAGGCUGCAGUCGAGAAUCAUUCACAAUGGGGGAAACCCUGAUGGUGCGAUGCCGCGUGGGGGAAUGAAGGUCUUCGGAUUGUAAACCCCUGUCAUGUGGGAGCAAAUUAACAAGAUAGUACCACAAGAGGAAGAGACGGCUAACUCUGUGCCAGCAGCCGCGGUAAUACAGAGGUCUCAAGCGUUGUUCGGAAUCACUGGGCGUAAAGCGUGCGUAGGCUGUUUCGUAAGUCGUGUGUGAAAGGCGCGGGCUCAACCCGCGGACGGCACAUGAUACUGCGAGACUAGAGUAAGGGAGGGGGAACCGGAAUUCUCGGUGUAGCAGUGAAAUGCGUAGAUAUCGAGAGGAACACUCGUGGCGAAGGCGGGUUCCUGGACAUUAACUGACGCUGAGGCACGAAGGCCAGGGGAGCGAAAGGGAUUAGAUACCCGGGUAGUC
rnacentral:rRNA from 1 species